GACGAACGCUGGCGGCGUGCUUAACACAUGCAAGUCGAGCGAUGAAGUUCCUUCGGGAACGGAUUAGCGGCGGACGGGUGAGCAACACGUGGGUAACCUGCCUCAUAGAAGGGAAUAGCCUUCCGAAAGGAAGAUUAAUACCGCAUAAGAUUGUAGUAUCGCAUGAUACAGCAAUUAAAGGAGUAAUCCGCUAUGAGAUGGACCCGCGUCGCAUUAGCUAGUUGGUGAGGUAACGGCCCACCAAGGCGACGAUGCGUAGCCGACCUGAGAGGGUGAUCGGCCACAUUGGGACUGAGACACGGCCCAGACUCCUACGGGAGGCAGCAGUGGGGAAUAUUGCACAAUGGGGGAAACCCUGAUGCAGCAACGCCGCGUGAGUGAUGACGGUCUUCGGAUUGUAAAGCUCUGUCUUCAGGGACGAUAAUGACGGUACCUGAGGAGGAAGCCACGGCUAACUACGUGCCAGCCGCCGCGGUAACAC
rnacentral:rRNA from 1 species